rnacentral:rRNA from 1 species
UACGUAGGCAGCAAGCGUUGUUCGGAGUUACUGGGCGUAAAGGGUGCGUAGGCGGGCCUUUAAGUCAGGGGUGAAAUCCUGGAGCUCAACUCCAGAACUGCCUUUGAUACUGAAGAUCUUGAGUUCGGGAGAGGUGAGUGGAACUGCGAGUGUAGAGGUGAAAUUCGUAGAUAUUCGCAAGAACACCAGUGGCGAAGGCGGCUCACUGGCCCGAUACUGACGCCGAGGCACGAAAGCGUGGGGAGCAAACAGG